rnacentral:rRNA from 1 species
CUACGGGUUGCUGCAGUCGGGAAUAUUGCGCAAUGGAGGAAACUCUGACGCAGUGACGCCGCGUAUAGGAAGAAGGUUUUCGGAUUGUAAACUAUUGUCGUUAGGGAAGAUAAAAGACAGUACCUAAGGAGGAAGCUCCGGCUAACUACGUGCCAGCAGCCGCGGUAAUACGUAGGGAGCAAGCGUUAUCCGGAUUUAUUGGGUGUAAAGGGUGCGUAGACGGGAAGACAAGUUAGUUGUGAAAUCCCUCGGCUUAACUGAGGAACUGCAACUAAAACUAUUUUUCUUGAGUGUUGGAGAGGAAAGUGGAAUUCCUAGUGUAGCGGUGAAAUGCGUAGAUAUUAGGAGGAACACCGGUGGCGAAGGCGACUUUCUGGACAAUAACUGACGUUGAGGCACGAAAGUGUGGGGAGCAAACAGGAUUAGAUACCCGCGUAGUC